UACGUAGGGCGCAAGCGUUGUCCGGAAUUAUUGGGCGUAAAGAGCUCGUAGGCGGCCUGUUGCGUCCGCUGUGAAAGCCCGGGGCUUAACCCCGGGUCGCAGUGGAUACGGGCAGGCUAGAGGUAGGUAGGGGAGAAUGGAAUUCCCGGUGUAGCGGUGAAAUGCGCAGAUAUCGGGAGGAACACCGGUGGCGAAGGCGGUUCUCUGGGCCUUACCUGACGCUGAGGAGCGAAAGCGUGGGGAGCGAACAGG
rnacentral:rRNA from 1 species